GACUGGUUGUCCAACGAAAUGGUUUAAAAUAUGUUAUGAAGGUGGGAAAACUAGAAGUAUUGUAUGUCCCUCAGAGUUCAUGUGGGCCUGGCAGUGGGAGGAGAGAAACAAAACGAAGCACAAAGCAAGUGUUGAACGGGCUUUCCCAGGAUCCCCAGAGAUCUGCAUAUUCCUGCAUAUUCCUUUUACAUUCAUCCAGGACUCAAGUACUGAAUGAGCUGAAUCCAUAACUUUUGCUUCUUAAGCAGAAUUCCUUGCAAAACCCCUCUCCAUGUCAGAAGACUUUUGGCAUUAUCUCUUUAGUCUCUCUGCUACAGAAG